rnacentral:rRNA from 1 species
UACGUAGGGACCAAGCGUUGUUCGGAUUUACUGGGCGUAAAGGGCGCGUAGGCGGCGUGGUAAGUCACUUGUGAAAUCUCUGAGCUUAACUCAGAACGGCCAAGUGAUACUGCUGUGCUAGAGUGCAGAAGGGGCAAUCGGAAUUCUUGGUGUAGCGGUGAAAUGCGUAGAUAUCAGGAGGAACACCAAUGGCGAAGGCAGCUCGCUGGGACGGUACUGACGCUGAGACGCGAAAGCGUGGGGAGCAAACAGG